GGGCGCUUAGCUCAGUUGGUAGAGCGUCUGCCUUACACGCAGAAUGUCGGGAGUUCGAGCCUCUCAGCGCCCACCA
rnacentral:tRNA from 17 species